rnacentral:lncRNA from 1 species
GCUGUAGUUCUCCAGCAUCACGUCCCUGUAGAGAGUCCUCUGAGCCACAUCCAGAUGCUGCCAUUCGUCCCAGGAGAAGUCCACAGCAAUGUCCUCAAAUGACACGGAACCCUGGACCAGUCUUGUUAGUCAUGUCCCCAGAUGCGGUUUCAGCUGCCCAUCUGCCAAGCCUUUCUAAGUGCUGGACAAGCGGGGAAACAGGAGUCAACCUCCGACACAGCCCAGUGCCAGGCCUCUGGUUCCAACUGUGGCCAGCUGGAGGGCCCUGGGAUCUGGGUCUCUCAUCAUUUCUAUACCUCAAUCUACAAGGCUCUUCACAGGGUCUUCCAGGUUCCUCACGUACCACCGUCUGUCCAGAGAGCAACAGGACCCCAACAGGACAUAGCCUUUUUUCAUACACACUGGCAUCGUUAGGGUUUUACUGCUGUGAACAGACACCAUGACCAAGGCAAGCCUUGUGGAGCAUGGCAGCAUCCAGGCAGACAUGGUGCAGGAGGAGCUGAGAGUUCUACAUCUUCAUCUGAAGGCUGAUAUCAGAAUACUGGCUUCCAGGCAGCUAGGAUGAAGGUCUUAAAACCCACACCCACAGUGACAUAUCUACUCCAACCAAGGCUACACCUACUCCAGUGGGGCCACACCUUCUAAUAGUGCCACUCCCUGGGCUGAGCACAGACAAACCAUAACAUUCCACUCCCUAGCCCCAAUUUUUGUUCAAGCCCAUGAAUCUAUGGGGGCCAUAAAUAGCCAUAACAUAAUAUAAAAUACAUUUAGUCCAACUUCCAAUGUCCCCAUAGUCUAUAACCGUCUACACAAUGUUAAAAGUCCAAAGUUCAAGUCUCCUCUGAGAUUCUUUCCAUCACUUAACUGUAGUCUCCAAAGCAAGACAGGAAACCAACUGGGAAAACUCAAACUCUGCAUCUCCAUGGCUGAUGUCAAAGCAGUCUUCAGAUCUGCACUCCUUUUUCACCUUUGUUGACUGCAACAAACUUCUCCUGGGGUGGUUCCACUCCCUGUUAGCCGCUUUCCUCAGCAUGUAUCCCAUGGCUCUGGCAUCUCAAACAUCUUGGGGUCCUCAAGGCAACUUCAACCUCACAGCUCCUUGUUCCAAUGUCUGGGAUCCACACGUGAUCUUAUGGGCUCCUCCAAAGGGUCAGACCUCCAGCUCUGUACUCUGUAGCACUCUAGGCUCUGGCUGAUCCACUCUGCUGCUGCUGCUGUUCUUGGUGAUCAUCCCAUGGUACUGGCAUCUCCAAUACACUGGGGUCUUCUGCUGCAACUAGGCUUCACCAACAGCCUCUCAUAGACUCUCUUCAUGGUGCCAAGCCUCAACUCCUUUACGUGACCCCUUCAGUCCUGGGUUGUCAACUGCAACUGAGGCUGCACCUUCACCAAUGACCUUCCAUGGCCUCUCACAGCGCCAAGCCUCAGCUGCUCUCCAUGACCCCUUCAUGCCUUCAAAACCAGUAUCACCUGUGUGACUCUUACACAUUACCAAGUACAGCUGCAGCAUGAAGUGCAUCCUUGGCUAUCUCUGGAACACAACUUCUUUGUGCUCUCAGAAAAUACUUCUCAGAAGAUUUCACCUUAGUGAUGGUGGUCUCUUCUUAAUCACUGCUAAUUUCUUAGCACCAGCUCACCAACAUCAAUUGUCCCAGUAGUCUCCUCCUCAUGACUAUGAUGCCAGAGCCAUAUGGCUGGAACUGCCUAGUUCUGCUGCUUUCUAGGGCUGGAACAUGGCCCCCUUGUUCUAUUACAUUAUCACUAGCUUUCUGUUUUCCAACUCCCUCACUGCCUAAGCUUGGCUGUCCUGGAACUUGCUCUGUAGAUUGACCUUGAACUCAGACAUCUGCAUGGUUCUGUCUCCUGGGAUUAAAGGCUUGUACUACCACACCUGAACCUAAAUUUGGCUGGGUGGGAUCUUACCCCAAGCUCCACUCCCUUAAUUCGAUUUAAUAUCUUUGAACACAGGUUUCAGCUCCGAUUCACUUCCUGGUUCCCCUUUAAUACUCAAACCAUGUAUUUUAUAUUUUUCCUUUCUAAACUUAUUCAAAAAUGCUCCUGAGACUUAACCAGAGAACAAAGUCUAUGAUGGGUGUUUCUGAGAAUUCCUUUGUCAAUGCACCUUAGCCUCAGGCAGACUCUUCAGACAAGGGCAAAAAGCAGCCACAAACUUCACCAAAAUAUUACAAAAGCAGUCUCUAGGCCACAUACUGAAGUUCUUCGCCACUGAAACCUCUUUGGUCAGGUCCGCACAGUUCAAAUCACUCAAAGCAACAAGGUCUUCCAUAUUCCUACUAGGACAGCUCAUUAAACCCCACUUAAAGCAUCCCACUGCUCUCCAAAUCUUCUACACAAAAAGGACCCAGUAUGAGCCCUGAUGGUGCAUGAGUAUAAUCCCAGACAUUUUAGAAGCCAAUAUAGGAAGAUAGCAAAUUCAAGGCCACACUGGCCUACACUGGGACCCUGUCUCUAUCCUGGCACAGAAUUUGUCUAAUAUGCACAAAUCUCCAGGUAUUCCAUCCUCAAUGCCAUAUAUACAGACAUAUCACACAGAUUCAGAUCAAUCCCCAGACACAUAAAGGCAGACGCAUACAAGCUAGCCCUGGACCCACCUCCGCAGGUGAUGAGCAGUGGAGAAGAGGUAGGGAGGUAAUAAGCCACUGCCUUCUCAAUAAUGGUAGAAGAUUCACACAGCCAACGUCCUAGAGAACCCAAGUGACUUAAGGAAAUGCUUCGCGACAGCAAAGCCAUAGUGCUGGCAGGCGCUCGUACACCUAGAUUUGGAGAGUCCGGUUCAAAAACCACAAAGACAUGAAAACAGACACACACACCCAAAGGCGUACUCAGAACCCAGCAGAAAACACAGCGCGAGUCCGGGAACGCACUGGCCUAGAUGCAGCGACGACUGCUCUUUCCGCAGCACGCCUUGGCCAGGCCACUCUCAAAAGCC